rnacentral:rRNA from 1 species
UACAGAGGGUGCGAGCGUUGUUCGGAAUUACUGGGCGUAAAGCGCGCGCAGGCGGCCGUUUAAGUCCGCUGGUGAAAGACCGGGGCUCAACCCCGCGUCAGCCAGGGAUACUGGACGGCUGGAGACAGGUAGAGGCAAGCGGAAUUCCGGGUGUAGCGGUGGAAUGCGUAGAGAUCCGGAAGAACACCGGAGGCGAAGGCGGCUUGCUGGACCUGGUCUGACGCUGAGGCGCGAAAGGAUGGGGAUCAAAUGGG